GAUUGAACGCUGGCGGCGUGCUUAACACAUGCAAGUCGUGCGGUAACAGGCGUAGCAAUACGUGCUGACGAGCGGGCGAACGGGUGCGUAAUACAUGGGAAUCUGGCCCUUUAGGUGGGGAAUAACCCGGCGAAAGCCGGGCUAAUGGCCGCGAUAAGAUCUUCGGAUGAAAGCGGGGAUCGUAAGACCUCGCGCUGAUGGAUGAGCCCAUGUCGGAUUAGCUAGNGGUGAGGUAACGGCUCACCAAGGCGACGAUCCGUAGCUGGUCUGAG
rnacentral:rRNA from 1 species